UAUCCUGAGCCUCUGGGAUUACAGGCAUGUGCCACCAUGCCUGGCCAUAACAAAAAAUAUAAUGUUAAUAUACCUGUAUCCUGUAUGCAUAUUACAUAUUAAGGAAUAUCAUAUUUGUUAGCAUUUUCCCAUAGCAUACAGUGAUAUGAUAUACUUGGUAUCAUUGCAAAUAUCUGUAUUUGAACUUUGUUCUAGUCAUCUUUCUCUUUCUAUAACAAAUACAUAAAAUAAUCAUCUUAUAAAGAGAAAAGCUAUAUUUUGUCUGAUGGAUUCAGAGGUUUCAAUUCACGAUCUCUUAAUUUUAUUGGGGGUCAGCAUAUCACAGUGGGAGCACAUGGCAGAACAAAGCAACUAAAUUCAUAGCCAGGGUAAAAAAGAGGAAAAUAAAAAGAGGAAGAGUUCAUGGUUCCUAAAUCCCCUUAAGGGACAUAUACCCCCAUGACCUAGGGAUCUCCCACUAAGUUACACCUUGUCACACCAGAGACCAAGUCUGCAACCCAUGAGCCUUUAGGAAAUAUUUAAUGUCAAAACUAUAACAACCCUCACAAUUGAAUGAUGUUUUAUAUAGGAUUUCAGGUUAAAAAUAUUUUUUCUUUUAAAAUAUUGAAGAUACGGCUACAUUUUCUUUUCUGAUCCAUAGUUGCUAUUGGGGGACUAACAUAAUUUUGCUUCCUGAUUCUCUUGAAGAACUUUCUUUCAUUUUUUCAGGGGCAUUUUUUUUAGUCCAUAGCAUUCUGAGGUUUUAAAACCAUGUAUUUUGGAUCUAUCCUUUGUGCGUUAUUGGACACUCAAAUAACACUUUCAGUCUGCAGGUUUGUAUCCUUCAGUUUUAAAAUUGUCUAUUGUACAUUAUAUGUGAUGAUUCUCCUUCCUUUAUUUUCUCUAUUCUCUUUCUACAGGUAUAACUCUACAGAUAGUGCGAAAUUCUUAUUCCCUUUUAUGAAUUCCACAGUUCUGUCUUUUUGUUGUAUGCUCUGUGAUAUUUCUUUGGAUUUUUAUUCCAAACAUAAUUUUGUACAUCGUUUUUUUUUAAUUUCAUAAUUUUUUAAAAAGCCAUUUCCCCCCUUCCAUUUUCAAAGCACCCUUUUCCGUUGCUUCUCCUCCUGUCUGAUUGUCCUUGUAGAUUGAUACCAUUUUAACCAUAUUACUGUUCUUUUAGCAGGGUUUUGAUAGGAAGAAGAAAUAAAUGCAUAAUCAACCUGACAUUUCUGGUAAUGGGAUCUUUAUGAGCAAAGUUUAAGAUGUAAGCAAACAUUUCCUUCUACUUUAGAUUUUUAAACAAAAGUUGGAAAUGAACGCAGCUUCCGUCUAUAAUGAAACUAAAGGUUUAUUGGGUUCACACAUGUACUGGAACAAUCAGUGUACUGAUGGCAACGCCCGCUCAGGAACCUGGAAUAGCAUCUAAAAUGAAAAAGAAAAACUGCAAAUAUGUUCUACACCAUGGAAAACAAUUUUAUAAAGGGCCAAAUCCACCAUACUCCCCUGGAACCACACCUAUUACCAGGGAACUGCAGUGUCUUCUCACUCUGUCUUGGGGCUUGGCGUAGGAAUUUCUUUUUUAGGCUAAUGGGGUGAUAGAAGAUGUAAUCAAUGCAAGGUCUUGAUAAACACCCGUGUACUCCUCCCUCUGCCAUUACCAUGGCAGCAUGACUGCAUGACCAGGAAGUUUGCUGGAGGAUGAGGAACAUGCAGGGAAAAGCUAAUUAUUCCCAAUGUACCUAGUGAAGACGGGACACACAACAACUCACUAUUAAAGACAGGAGCAAGCUUGGCCAGUUGCAGAGAUUUCCAGCCAAGCCCAGCCUAAAUUUCUGACCUAUAGACUCAUAUGCUUCAUACAUAUUUAUUACCUUUCAUGUUUAAGUUGUUGUGGUCUUUAACAUUAUUGUAGUGAUGAAUAACUGAUAUAUAUGUGAAUUUUCAAAGUAUUCAGUAAUACUAAUGAUAUCACCAGAAUAUCUUCUAGUCUAUAUAUCAAUGCAGGUAGAAGUUAGGGAUAAUCCAUAAAUAGUAACAGCUGCUUGUCUAUUAUCACUCAUAAAUAACAUGUUGAUCUUUGAUGGUAAGGAUUUCCUGAGACCAUGAAAACUUACCACUUAAAACAGAAAAUCAUGUGUAUCAGCCUAAAUGUUUAGAAAGAGACCUUUGUAUAAUAAAGUCCUUAUAUAAAUUUUUUUUAAAAGGAGAUACUCCUUAAAAACUAAGUGCUUGCUGGUUCUGUUCAUUAUGAAAAUAAUAUAUGAUCAGUACAAAAAAAUUGUUAUACAGGGAAAAUAAGAAGAAUACAAUCAUUUAUGAUUCUCAUACUCAAAGAUGAUGGCAAUUACUAAUGUUUGAUAUAUUUUAAUAUAAUAAUUUUGAUCAAUUUCUUUAUAAUUUAGUUUUAAUAUAGUCAUGACUAUAUUGUUUGUACAAUUUCAUGUAAGC